rnacentral:tRNA from 1 species
GGGCUCGUAGCGCAGAGGUCGUCGUGCAGCCUUGCUCAGGCUGAGGACGCCGGUUCGAAUCCGGCCGGUCCG